GAUGAAGAACGUAGCGAAAUGCGGUAAGUAAUGUGAAUUGCAGAAUUCAGUGAAUCAUCGAAUCUUUGAACGCACCUUGCACCCUUUGGCAUUCUGAAGGGUAUGCUCGUUUGAGUGUCAUUGUACUCUCACACUCCCGAUCUUUGCAUUGGGAGCAGUGGACUUGGGUUUGCUGCUUCACCGUCGCUUACCUCAAAUAGGUUAGUGCAACUCUUGGUUGGACAUAGUACGGCGUGAUAAGUGUUCUUCGCCGGUGCCUCGCAAAGAGGGUGGCCGAUCGGGAUGUUGUGCUCCAAACCGUCUUCGGACAAUCUCUGACGACUUGACCUCAAAUCGAGUAAGACUACCCGCUGAACUUAAGCAUAUCAAUAAGCGGAGGA
rnacentral:misc_RNA from 1 species